UCGUUGUAGAGAUUUCAAAUUUUGUUACCGUGUCGCGUUUAAAAUGUGGCUAAAAGUAUUCUUAGGUGUAGUUGUGGUUGUGAUCUGUUUGAACUUUGUGGAUGCUAUGGCUUUAAACCAUUGGCGAGAUGAGGAAAGUGAAAUUGAGCAACUGCAAAAGUUCUUCGAUGAUUUUGCUCAGAAGAUCAAGGAGUAUGAAGUCCUAAAUGAAGCCGAUUAUCCCAUGGAAGAUGAACCCUAUGAUUUCUAAGUCUGUUUGUCGAUUUUUCACAUAGAAAAUUGUUUAUUGCAGAAUAAUAACAAAAUGUUCCUUAAAUUUCGUUAUUCAUAUUGAAAUAUGUGUGAUAUUAAAAAAAAAACUUUAGCAGCUAAACAUCACAAAUAAACGUGAGGUGUGA